CUUUUUGAAGCGCCGCCGGCGCCGCAGGAAGCUGCCGUUCUCGAACAUGUUGUAGGAGUCCGGGUCCAGGGUCCAGUAACUGCCCUUGCCGGGCUUCUUGUCGUCGCGGGGCACCUUGACGAAGCACUCGUUGAGCGAGAGGUUGUGGCGGAUGCUGUUCUGCCAGCCCUGCUUGUUCUCCCGGUAGAAGGGGAAGCGGUCCAUGAUGAACUGGUAGAUGCCGUUCAAGGGAGUUUCCAGGCUCGGGGUCGUCAAGGAUAACCUAUCGAGGUUUUAGAGGUAAACCCUACAAACUGAGUUUCCCUCGCUCCCCGCCGAGGAGCCAGGCAGCGGAGUGCAUAGAGGGGAAGGUAGCAACGUGCUGACUGACAACUUAAUCCUCCGAAUUCGCGGGGAAUUCGGUAGAUCAUCCGCGUCGCUGCGAGCAGUUUUGUGGGGUUUGGGGAAAAGGGUGAAGUGACUCUGCUAUUUCCCCCUUUCGUCUCCCGCGUGGACACUCGCAGCCUACCAACUUCAGCUUCGAAACUCGUCUCCCUUUUCCCAGCUGGGUGAGCGGUUGAUUGCAAACGGUUCAAGAUCCCUUCGGGAUGAUAUUAUUCGGCAGGCAGACCUGGAGCGACUUGGAUCUCCUUCAAGGAUUUCUCCUUCCCUCUAGGAAUCCCGGACAGUUUGUUUAUUUGUGGACUGAUUAUUUAUUCCUUCCACACCUCAAUAAUCAGAUCCCCUUUUCCCACUUUCCCUGAAGGAGUGAGACACCCCUUUAACAAGGCUAAACACGGGCAGAAUUUUGGAAGUUGCUGGUCUGGUUGGGCAGGGAAGAGGGCUUCAGGGAGAACAUUUGUAUUUCAGGUUUCCUUGCACCCUUCCUGGCUGUUCAUCGGCUGCGUAUUCGAUUCUCAGCAAAAGGAUGUUGAGACAACCCACCAGGCCUCUUCGCUUCGGCCUCUUCGCUUCGGGGAGGCGACUAGAAGGCAAUGGGGCGUGCCACUUAUUUCCAAUAAAAGAACAGAAGACGAAAAUGUAGAUGCAUUAUCUUUGUCUCCUGAUCAAUUCAAAGCCAAAGGGAAGCUACAAAUCAGGUUCCUUUACCUUGAAUAUUCCACUUCUGAAACAUUGUUUUUAUGAGUAUUCUGGGCUCUUUUUCUAACCUGAUCCUUUUUCUUCUUUCUUUGAAACAAAGUAAAAUAAAGCUGCCCAGUUCUCAGCUCACAGGCAAAUGAUUUGAGCUUUCUGCCCCAACCCUAAACUCCCAC
rnacentral:lncRNA from 1 species